AGAAUUGCUCACUGGAGCAACUGGGCCAUGUAACAGUGUUCUCCAUAUGCUGGAUGUUCUGGACUAUAACUCCCAUUAUCACGGACCAUGCUGUGCGGGUCUGCUGAAGUGCAAAACUUCUGAGGGUGCCGCAUUAGGGAAAGAAGGUUGGAAAGGAGAGUGGAAUGAUGGUAAGACGAAAAAGGCAGAGAAGCAGUGGAAGGAAGAGAAGGUGUAGUCAAGGUCUAGCUACAGUUCUGGAUGGAAAAUAUUACUUUGCGAUAAAGUGCAACUUGAAUUCAUGGACACUUGACAGAUGAUCAUUGUGAGGAUGGUAUUUCAUAAACUUGUGGAAGAAGAGCUGCUCCCAAUACUACCUCUGAGAGACAGCAACAGGAAUACAUGUGUGGAAAUGGUGUGGUUUACUUUCUGGAUAACAUUGGCAAAGUACUAGCUCAACCUUGUGCAGUUAAGUGGAAGAAAAGUAAGUUUACACAGAGGGCCGUGGUAGUCAUCAGAUGAAGGUGAAACCAGUGUCUUCCUGCAUUACAGUCACUCUGAUGCUCCAUGUUCAACAAAAGGUCAUGCCUGGAUGACUCACUGAUGGCAGCUGCCCUCCUGUCUCUCCUUCCAAAGAGUUCUGAUGAUAGCAUUGCAUAUUGAGCUCUACGGCUGUAAUGGUCUAUCUUCUGAUUUUGCAUCAGACAAUACCUCUGCUUCUUCCAGUGAACUAGAGUCUGUUUCUAGCUGAGAAUUAAGUGUCAGAUCAAUAGUGAAUAUUAGGCCAGAAUGAUGAGGUUUAUUUUUCUCUGUAUGUACUCACAAGUCACUUUCAUGUAUAUGGGCAUUCAUUACAUGAGAUCUGUAUUGAUAACUUAAAUAUUGCAAAACAGAACUUAACUGAUAGGUCUCAUUCUCUGUUCCCUCAGUGGCAUGACAGCCAAAAAUGCUACUGGAAAAAGCUUUUACUAGGGGAAAAAAUAAAGCUCAACUCACUGUUA